UUUUUCUGUCAUACUAAGGUGAACACUUUUGAUUCCAUAUGAUUUCCUAAGUUAAGCACCUUAAGGCUUUGUUAGUUCUAAGAUCAGGGACCGCUUUGCAAGUCCGAGUUUGGACAGCC
rnacentral:rRNA from 1 species